UUUAAAACAGGCAACGGCAUCGUACUUUAUCCCAUUCAAAAUCCCUAACCCUCCGGCGAUCGAAAAAAAAGAGGAGGGCCAAUUUCGGCGAGGAUAUUGUUGCCCACAAAAAUCUCUUCCCCCUACACCUCCACAUCCUUAUUACGUGAAACCCCUUGUCUCCUUCCACAACCACAUCGUGGACGGAAUUUCAUGAAGGUCAGCCCCACAAUGGAUGGAAUUCAGGUUUCCCAAAAAUCAAGUACACAUCUCAAAAACCUAUUAUAUUCUCACAGAAUGUCUUCCUCGUUAGAAUGGUUGGAAUCAAGUCGACUUUGAACCAUUGAAGAAGAUCAAGUGCAUUUAUUUAAAAUUUGCAUAUUUAAGAAUGCUAUGUUUUUUAAGAAUUUGUUUUAAUUUUAUGAGAUUCUGUUAGAAUAUGUAUAACUAUAUUAAAAUAUAUGAGACUAUUAUUUUGGAAUAAUAUGUAUGAAUCGACGUUUAAAUGUCCAUGAAUAUACAAUGAUCUUGUUAUUUUUCAA